rnacentral:misc_RNA from 1 species
AAGUUAGUGCGACGCCGUGUUUCGUCUACGUAAGAUACCACUUUCACAAGAACAAGAAGGUUAUAAGUGCGAAGAGCGUGCCGUGCGGUGGUUUAACUGCAAGGACGUUGACGACUUCACCCCUGGGGAUGUCUUCAGUGCUUACUGGGAGCGGCGAUGAGAAGACCAAAGUCGGCUCUACGACACCGUGCUUCUGCAUAUGACAGGUUCAGCACAAAGUGUUGCUACAGCAGCAACAACUGCGCCUGCUACUGAGUCUGCUGCCACCUCAUAUCCUGCAGCCAGACCAACUAAAUGUGCUGCCUCUUCUGGUCCUGCAGCCUUAGCAAUCACACUGCCUUCUGCCUCUGAUGCUGACAUGUCGCAGUGUUCGUUCAGCAAGGAUGAACAGCUAAGAUAAUCAAGGAUCCACAAGGAGUAUUAUAGGUUGACCAGCCUAACGGUUGGAUGCUCUCAAGGGCCGCCUCAAAAAAGGACUUUCAUUUGGUUCAGUGGUCCACCAUCGCAAUAUGGUGGACAGAUGCCCGCGUGCAUAGGAGCUUCCUGGGAACGAACCAUUUUGCAGCAGAAGGUGGCCAGAAGCCUGCACAGCAGCCAUUGUCCCCACACAAAGUGGAAGCAUAGAGAGUCUCUUCCAGGCACUACAGUGCUGCCCAAAGCCCUUCGGAAGAGGAAGCGAAACAGGUCGCCCAGAACACCAGGCUUUUGGCUGUCCCAGAAGACAUCCAAGUUGAGGCGAGGGCAGAAAAAAUAAACAGAGAAGUCAUUUUCAUUUCCAAA